AUGCGCAGGUGUGGGAGGUAGGGUGGUGCCCCGGCGGGGGGGGUGGGGGCCGUGUCUAGGUGCUAGCAGUGGGGUGCCCAGGUGUGGUCAAGGAGUGGUAUCCAGGUGCCCAGGUGCUGAGCCCAGGUGCUACUUGGCUGCCGGAGCCGAGAGAUGAGGGUGCUGUGUGAGGAGAGGCAAACUGAUUUCUGCAAGAGAAAGUCUUCUUCCGUGCAGAUGAAUGAGGCCCUCCUGGUGAGAUCCCAUCGCGUCCCCUGGCCUCCGGUGUCAUCUGCUCUGCGUGAUAUCUCCAGGGGGACCUCUCUGCUGGGCUCCAAGCCGCGUGGCUGUGGGUGACCAGCAUCAUGUCCCACCAGGACCCCUGCAGUCCCAGUGCAUCUGCCUGCUCAUCCAGGGACCUGUCCUCACUGCCUGCUGCCCGCACUGUGUGGAAGGACAGAGGCUAAACGAGGAAUCCUGGAGCUCUGGUCUCAUGGAAAUGGCAUCCUGCCCACCACCCACGCCUGCCCAGCCUUUCUUCACGCCUUAAAACGUGGAGAGUGGAAUCUUCUGGGCCCAGGUAUGCGCCUUUGCUCCGACAUUCCCUUCACUACUCACUGGCGAGCUCAGCUGGAAAUUCACUCCCAAUAGGAGUUCCACGGCAGACACGUCGUGAGUCAUGGCAGAACUUCGUCUUUUAAUUGCAGAAUGUUAAAGAAAGAGUCACUCAGGUAGCAAAGAUUGGCUUUUCAGGGGCGAUUUUAUGGAGCUAUUAACUCAGAGACACCAUUACUUAAAUGUAAUUUUUAUUAUUACAAUUAAAGACUGAUUUGAUUUUAUGAGAUCACGCAUUUUUAUUUUAUGGAAGUUUUAUAGUUAAAUUCAAUUUGAAAUAUUACUCUGUAUUUAAAAUAAAAUACAAGCAAGUACAGUAUUAAAAUUAUGCCAUACUUCUCUUGCAACUGAUGUUAAAACUCCCAUGCAAGUGAUUACUUUGGUAGAAACAAAUGUUUCCUAAUACAGCUAGGUAAUAACUCAAGGAAAGUAAACUUGGUUCAUUCUGUUUGUGAAGUUACCAGCAGUUGUUGGCUUAUUUAAGAUACCAAGUCUAAUUAAGUUUAUUGUCAACUUUUGUGUGUGUGAAACAUAAAAGUUGAUUUCCUCUCGGUUGAUUCUCAGAGGAAGGAAUUUCUUUGGGUCAAAGGGAGCUCUCAUUGCUACUUCAGUGUUUGCAGUGUGCAGAGUUGUAAAAGUUGAGACUAGCCACUCAAAAUGCGAGCUUCUGGUCCUGACAUUUCACGGGGAAAGGAAGGCUCAUGAACCGACUGAGACAUGGUUGAGCGGCUAAGAUUUCUGUAGCUAUGAUGCUGCCAUCCAGGCCGACUUCAGACUUGGGAAGUUUCCAUGUGAGUUUUUGGAAGGUUUUGGGGUUUUGUUUUUGAUGGAGGAAAAGAAUGUGAAAGAGUGUUUGCACCAAAUAGGUUAAGCUGUUAGUAAACAUGCACCCUUUAAAUUAACUGAUGAUAAGGACAAAGAAGGUGCUUUGUCGUCGUCAACUGGAUUUGUCUGAAGUCACAGAGACAAACAGGUGAAGGGGCAGUCCCUCUUCAACUCCCUAAUGGAAAGCAGAAAGUAAACCGUGAAACGAGGAAAGUUGAAUUGGAUUCUUCCUCCCAUUUAUUUUGGCAAAAGCUUGCUCUUCUUUCUCUCACUUGCCUUUCUUCCAGGGGGGAAGCCUGGUUUUUCCAAAAUCAAAUGAGCAUAGGAACAAAUAUUGCUCAGGAAUGUGCAUCCUUUCAAGACCCUUAGCACUUGUGAUGAGUAAGUCCCUGUGUGGUAAGUGACUGGAGACACAUCCAUGUGGCAACCCCAGCUUCUCGGCUGGGCUGGAGGAUAAUUAAUUUCACUCUCAGCACUGCUGAACAGAGAGCACUGUUCAGAGUCAGGGAUGAUGGGUGGGCCAGGCCCUUGCAAGAGGCUGUCCUUGAAUUGGGUGCUGGCUUCCUGUCAGCGCGUUGCUUUAACCAUUUGUGCCCUCACUUGUUAUAAAAAAAACGGAAAAGAAAGGAUAGUAGGUUUACAGGGGACUCUUUUGGUCCUGGGAAGAGAAUGCAAAGCCCAAAGGAAUCCUAAAGGAGGAGAAAUGGGCUAGAGACCCAAGGGAAAGGAGACGGCCCGUCCGAGGAGGAGGUGGGCCGGUUAUCUUUUCAGUAGUUUUAGUUUGCAAAAUGUGAGUUUUGCAUUUAGUUUGGGUUUAAGCUGGCAUGUGUCAGAGAAAUGCGAAAGAGCCAGUAUAGAAAUUUAAGAUUGGGUGCUGAGUUUCUUCUCCUUUUGGUAGAGGGUUUUUUGUUUUUUUUUUUUUGUUUUUUUGAAUAGGGACUUCAGUAACUAAGCAGAGAGUUAGGGUUGUAUUUGCUCUUCAAAUUUGGGGGUUUACCAUCAGAGGUUAAAUGUGAUAGUAAGGAGGUAUCCUGGGGUGCGGUUUUCAGAAAUGGUAUGACACUCCUCUUAGGAGUCCUCCAAAGCAGGUGCCUCUGCCAGGCGAGCCUUAGGUGGACGCUGGUCAGAGAACCACUGGGGUCUCAGCUGUGAAGGGAUUGAGUGGACUGGACAGGCUGGCCAUAGUGCUUAGGCCUCCAUUGCGAAGUUACUAGAAUUCUGCAGGAAUGGGUUGUUGUCUUAGUGCUCGUUAAACCAGUCAGGCAGUGGGUGACCAUCACCAGUGGACCUGGGUGUGGGGGCCUUGGCACUCGGGCCUGUGAUUUAUGUGCCCAGCUCACACAUGUCAGCUGCAACCCGUUCACUCGAGUGUUGUGGCCUGGAAAGCAAGGACUGUGUCUUGUUCUUUUGAGGAUUCUGGGACUUUUCUAACCUAAGAUUCCUCCGUCCUAGUGUGGGCAUAUUCAUGGAGGGGGGCGGUUAUGAGUACGAAACGAGGUAACAGUAGGUAAAACACCUAUUAACAGCAUCAAGCAUAGCGCUUUCUAGAGGCUCACUGAAGACGUCCAUGCCCUUUUCCCAUAUCGGAACUGCUCAGGCACUUUCCCAGGGGCUUUGCCAUUUUGCACUGUCCUCACCUAACUCCUGGACCUACAGUGGCAAACCCAAUUUGACUAGUUAUGAUUUGGCAUUGUUCUUCCUUCUUAACGCUCAUGACCCAGACUGAGAACUUGAAACCGGCCACUUCUCACUAAUGAUUCAGUGAUUGGCUCACAAUGACCUGUGAUGGCAAAGGGCACAGGUGAGGUCUCAGUGCCCAGAGCAAGCUCCUUUUUACUGUUUAACUGCUGUCUAAGUGACGACCCUUCCCUUGAAAGGCCUGGUAUCUGUUAAAGUGCACAGAUAAUGAGAAGGGGUGGUGGAGUUUCCCAGCCAGGCACGGAGCUCAGAGCCUCUUCUGGGCACACAGCGAGGCUCCGUUUCCCAGGGCCCCUUUCAGCUAGGUGAUGCCACCUGAGUCCUCCCCAGUGGGGUCUGAGAGGGAGUGAUGUGGGCUGCUGCUGGCCUGGCCAGGGACACUUCUCUUGGGCAAUCUUUUUUUUAAAAAAAUGGUAUAAAUGUAUGGUGUACAGGUGCAGUGUUGGUACAUGCAUAUAUUGCAUAGUGGUGAAGACUGGGCUGUUAGUGGAACCAUCAUCCAAAUAGUGUACAAAGAAGCCAUUAAGUCAUGUUUAAAUCAUCCACCUCCCUCCUGCCCCCGCCCUUCCGAGGCUCCAGUGUCUAUCACUGCACUCUCGCUACCACGUGGACACUUUCUCUAGUUCCCACAUCUGAGUGAGAACAUGUGGUACUUGGCCUCUGAGUUGUUUUCCUUAAGAUAAUGACCUCCAUAUAUAUACACCGCAUUGUCUAAUCCUCUCCUCUGUUGAUGGAUACUUAGGUUCACUCCACGUCUUUGCUAUUGUGAAUAAUGCUGCUGUAAACAUACGAGUGCAGGUUAUCUUUUUGAUAUGGUUUCUUUUCCUUUGGAUCGACGCUCAGUAGUGGGAUCACUGGAUUGAAUGGUGGUUCUACUUUUAGUUCUUGGAGAAAUCUCCGUGCUGUUUUCGUUUUGUUUUUUUGAGACAGAGUCUUGCCCUGUUGCCCAGGCUGGAGUGCAAUGGCAUGAUCUCGGCUCACUGCAACCUCCACCUCCCAGGGUCAAGCAAUUCUCAUGCCUCAGCCUCCCAAGUAGCUGGGAUUAUAGGCGUGUGCCACCACGCCUGGCUAAUUUUUGCAUUUUUAGUGGAAAUGGGAUUUCACCAUGUUGGCCAGGCUGGUCUCAAACUCCUGGGCUCAAGCGAUUCUCGCACCUCGGCCUCCAAAAUUUCUGGGAUCACAGGCAUGAGCCACUGCGCCCAGCCUCCAUACUGUUUUCCAUAGAGGCUGCACUAAUUUACAUCCUCACCAACAGUGUAUAAGUGUUCUCUUUUUUCCAUAUCCUUGCCAACAUUUGUUAUUUUUGUCUUUUAAGCAAUAGCCAUUCUGACUGGUAUAAGAUGGUAUCUAAUUGUGAUUUUAAUUUACAUUUCUCUGAUUAGUGAUGAGCAUUUUUUCAUAUGCUAGUUGGCCAUUUGUAUGACUUCUUUUGAAAAAUGUCUAUUUUUGUCCUUUGCUCACUUUUAUUUUAUUUUAUUUUAUUAUUAUUAUACUUUAAGUUUUAGGGUACAUGUGCACAAUGUGCAGGUUAGUUACAUAUGUAUACAUGUGCCAUGCUGGUGUGCUGCACCCAUUAACUCGUCAUUUAGCAUUAGGUAUAUCUCCUAAUGCUAUUCCUCCCCCCUCCCCCCCACCCCACAACAGUCCCCGGUGUGUGAUGUUC